rnacentral:rRNA from 1 species
UACGUAAGGGGCGAGCGUUGUCCGGAAUCACUGGGCGUAAAGGACGCGUAGGCGGCUGAGUAAGUCAGGGGUGAAAGCUGUGAGCUCAACUCACAAAUUGCUUCUGAAACUACUCGGCUUGAGUUCUGCAGGGGAAAGUGGAAUUCACGGUGUAGCGGUGAAAUGCGUAGAUAUCGUGGAGAACACCCGUGGCGAAGGCGGCUUUCUGGGCAGACACUGACGCUGAGGCGUGAAAGCUAGGGGAGCGAACAGG